UUUUUUUUUUCUGUCUUUCUUUGUUCUGUGCAUCUUCAAUCUUUCUUCCCCAAUGAUCGCUGCACUAUAGGUUACGUCAGUUGGUAUCAUAGCCCUUCAAAUCUGUGAGUGCUGGUCUUUUCCUGUAGUUUGGAUAGCGGAUGGUGGUCAUAAGAAAAACAAAUAUGCGAAUCUUAUGUAGUUAGAAAUCCAGAAUGCGAGAUCUGAAGUGGAACCUAAUGAUCGCAGAUCUGACGGAGAGUUUUUAGAUUUCAAAAAUCCUUUUCAUGGAGAUUUUUCUACAUACCGACGAGAAGGUCGUGGUGACUUAUUUGAAUGAUCAACCCGCUAGUUUGAUUCCAUAAGAGUAGAUCUACC
rnacentral:lncRNA from 1 species